GCGAGCGGAGUGACGGAGCCAACAGCGCCUCGUAGCCGGCGGUCGCGGCGGGUAGCGAGGCGGCCGGGGGCAGGGCGGCCGAAGCUGGCAGUGGUGUCAGAUGAGGAAGGUGAGACACAGAGAGGUCAAGUAACUCUCUUGAUGUCACACAGCUGCUUUAAAUCCAGGCCGUCUGACACCAGGACAGACAAUAUCUGAGCCACGUUGUGGGGCAGGAAGGAGCCGGUCUGGGGAAGAGGAACCCGCUACAUCCACGUCCACUUUGGUGUCCUGAGGUAGCAGGUCUGGAAUGAGGGCAGCUUUUCCCGCCCGUCUCCCUGCACAGCAGCAUGUCAGCUUGCAGCAGGAGCAUUAGGAGAAGAAACAGAAACCCACUAGCAGCUGCUGAGACAGGCCCACAGUGGGGAAGGAGGGGCAUAGAAGGCCCCAACUUUGGCUUUCAGGAGCAGGAUCCAGCUGGCAAGGUAUGGGGGCUAACCUAGCUCACCCAACCUAACCUCCAUGCUACUGUCUUGCCCCACCUCUCUUUGGAGGACCAGAGUGCCUUCCUGAAAAGACCAUGACUGGGGUCAAAGUUCCCUGCAGAACCCCUUCUUCUCCAAGGGCCACUCCCUGACUCCCAGGAGACCCCCUUCCAGGGGCUGUCCAGGGCUUUGGCUAAUCAGUUCACCCCUACCCCCACCCCUACCUGUUUCCCCCUCUUCAUGGGAAAUAGACCUCUCUGCCCACAGGGUCAGAGCCACUUUCCCACAGGGAUCAGACGUCCUUAGUCCUGGACAUUAUACUCCUUCCACAAGGAUCUGCUCACUUCUUCCCUCCUAUCCACCUCUGUCCUGGUUUGGCAUCUGGGGCCCCGUGUGCUCCUCUGCACUUCUGACUGAGCCAGAGGUCAGACGGACAGAAUUUUGGCUCUAGAACCACCCCUCGCCUCGCGUUCUGGCCUGGCGGCACCCCGGGGGAACACUGGUGAGCUAGGCGGCCAAAGCCCCUCCUCCGACCCGCAGAGGCCCCGCCCCCUCCCCUUCCUCCGGGCCUCCGCGGCGCCCUCGCUCCUCGCGGUACCCCCUCUGGGGGCCCUCCGCCGCUGGGCCGAGGCCGGAGCCACGGCCGCCGCCACCGCCGCCGCCACCGCCGCCGCCACCGCCGCCGCCGCCGCCGCCGCCGCCAGGGAGGGGGAGGGGGGUCAUAAAUAACCCGCGGGGCGGCUCGGCCUGAGCAGCGCAGACUGUGACCCGAGACGUCUCCGGGGAACGCGGGGCAGCCCGUAGACCCUGCUGCCCCCAACCCGGGGCUCGGCCAGCCAUGACCGCCUCCUCUGGCGCUAUCUGACCCUGUCCACAACUGGCGUUCCUGCCAGAAGCCUCCCUCCCAUCCUGGAGUGCCUACCUACCCUCAUCCCCAGACUGCUCCCCUUAAAGCCCCCUUUUGAGCCAUUCCUUCACCAAGUAAUCAUUUAUUGAGCACCAGAUGUGGAACCCCGGGAAGAGAGAUGGGUGAGGUUGGAAGAAGAGAGAUGCAGAGGAGACCUGCUCCCUCAGCCUUAGUCUUCCUGAGCUCAUCUAGGGUGACUGUCGGGGUGGGAGAGCAGGCCCAGACAUGCCAGACACAGGAAGGCAUGUAAGGACAGAUCACACAGGUGCGGGCACAGCUGACACAGCUGUGAGGAAGCACAUCCACGGGUACACAUACAUGUGCCCAAAGCCACCAACAGAUGCAUGCAUUCUCAAAAGCUCAUGCCUAUACGCUUCCAUAUGCACGCACAGCAGCUCCCCAAGCUGCACACACAGCACAGAGGCUGACAUCCUCACCACAAACAUGCACAGACAGUAUGUGUGUUAACUUACAUCCAAGAUCAAAGACACCACCAACACCUGUGCAAAAGCAUACAUAGACACACAGGCCUGCAGCAUGAGCACCAGACGGAUAUAGCCGUCAUACCCAAGACAACAUGUCUGGAGCAAGGGUCUGCUGGCUGGCAGCAGUGUUCCACUCGGAAGGGUUAGCCUGGGAGGUCAGAGGUCAGUGGCGAAUCAGCUAGGGCUCCUUUACACUCCCUGCUAGAGUGGUCAGAGCUUCCAGGAAUGUGUCGGUUCCCAGCUGCAGGUCAGACACAGGAGGGGCUGCCCUGCUAAGACUUGCCUUGCCUUCUGCCCGCCGUGAGCUGGCUGCAGGCCAUGCCUCAGGAAUAGACAUGUUUCCGAGGCCAGCCUGUUCACCGACCUUAACUGAUGCUAUAUAAAGGAGUAGAGAGAUAGGGCUUAGGGUCAACCCUACAUUCCCCUGUGGGUUCGCAGACUCGGGGCACUGACAGGGCACACGCUGCCAGAGCAUUGGUAACAUAUACCAUGAUAUUCACCUGCUGCAUCACGCAUAAGCAGACACACACACACACACACACACACACACACACACACACACACAGUGACCCCAGGCAAAAACACAGUGACACAGGUGAGCUUGACACACCACAGGGUGCACUGGAUACACUCGGAAGCCAUACAGAGGGAGUUGUUGGUCUGGCAACACGAAUGGGAGACCUGGCUACCACUGGCUCUGCAAGCCAAGUUCCUCUGCAGGAGGAGUGAAGACACCCGCUCACUGGCGUCACCGGGGACAGAGAGCAGCACCUGCCUCGGGCAGCCUGUCACGUGCUAUGGCCCCUCUUGGGCCUGGGUUGUGCUGGAGUUAGGCUGACACAGGUGGUAAGGGUGGCAGACCCUUCAGUGGCCUGAGAUGUGGGCCCUCCUAGCCAGCCACUGAAUGACCCAGCCUUCUCCGCCCUUCUCAGGACCUUACUCUCUCCAUCUGAAAAUGAGAUAGGGGUUCAAAAUCUGUGGGGUCCUUUGGCCCGGAGCAGAGCAGUCAGGGUGAAAUGUGGCUACAGGUGCCCUGGUCAGCACGGUGAGGCAGGCCUAGCACACUCUUGAUGCUUUCUCCAUAAAUGGGCCCAGAGUACAGGAGCUGGGGGAUGGGUUCACCCCAAGGUAGGGCCAAGCAAAGGGCAGGAAUAGAGUCUUCUAGGGCCCCCGGAGACAGAAGAAUCUGUCCCAAAGAAUGGGCACGUGGGCUGGUUCCACCCCUUUCUGUCCCUGCAAACAUCACCUGGUCUGCUGCCUGGACAUGGCCUGGGGUGGGAAGGGGGUCGAGGGGACCCCUGGCUGCAGUUGUUGUCCUGCUGUGUGUCCAUAGGGUUGUGGUCCUUAUCCCUCAUGGCACAAGCCACUGCAGCACUGUAAUCGUUCGGAUGUCAGGUCAGGGAGAUGACCAGAGUGGAGUGGCAGAGCUAUCGGAGUGGUGCUGCACGCAAACUCAGUUCCAGUCCCAUUACACCCCCGCGUCUCGGGAGUGUGCCAGCAGGGGCUGAUUGUGAGGGAAGAGCAGACCCUUACCCGAGAGUGUAGGGCUACCCAUGUGCUCCCGUGUGUCUAUGCUGGGUGCUUAUGCGUGAGUGUGCUUUCCUCCUCCUGUGACCACGGUCCUGGUGCUCACGCUCAGUGCAGAUCCCACAUGAAGGCCUUGGGGACCCAUGCUCCUCCCUGUGGGGGUGUAGGCCCUGGAGGGUCAAUCCCAGCUGUGCUGGUCACAUGUUCACUCUUGGCCUGCUCACCUGUUUUGGCCUGGGAAGACCUGUGAGCAUUCGGAACCUACCGCGGUCCUGCUAGAGACACUAGGAUGUGCCACCCUCAGUCACAGGGCAGCAGUCAGGCCUCUGGGCGGGAGGAAUGGGCUCAGGUGGGCCUCUGCCAGGACUGUCAGUGGAAGUUGAAGGAGAAAGGACGUUCAAGUGGGGACCCUCGGCACAGAAAUCCUGGAGGAAGAGAGAAGCUGGAGGUAAGGGGCCAGUUGGUGGAGGGCUAGGAGGGUGGGUGGCUGGAAGGUACUGCCCCCAGGCCCAGCUCUGAGAGACUCCCAGCCUCCACAGCGAGCCCAGACUGGCCCUGGAAGUGACUGUUUAUGUUGGACUUCCUGCUAACUGUGAGCUCCCUGCGAGCAGGACUUUUGUUUGUUUUCUGACAUACCCACCACGUGUCAGCAUUUGAGGCUUUUUACAGGGCUCCACCCUGGUGUGGCCCCCUCCCGGCUUGGCCUCCCUGGCCUGAGGCAGCCCCAGGCCUGCUAACCUCUUCUCCCAGCACCUGCCCACUGGGCUUCUGCCCAGGCAGGACUCUGACUACCUUCCUAUCCCCAGAAGCUUCUUAAGGUUUGGCCACAGACAUCGUCUUCUUCAGAGAGAGAGCGAAAACUCCCAAGUCUGGGGGAAUCUCUUGGCCCGGCCUCAUCUACCAUGCUCCAGCAGGGUUGCAACUCUGUGCCUGCCUACCCUGGGAGGAGGGGUGGGUUGUUUGGGCGUACUUCACGCACAGUCCCACCAUCAGGGUCACCCAGAUGACCAACAGUCACCUUGUCAUCAUUGAUUCGUCACAUCAGGGAUUUUCAGAAGUAGCAUGCUGAGGCGGUCAGUGAGUUUUACUGUUUCACAGCUGCAGCCCAGGCUGGCUUUCUGAGGUGAUGACUUAGCCUGACCCCAUCCAAGGCCCAGUCCUCCUUGCAAGGCUUGGUUGAGUUGGUGAUAUGCCUGCUGAGUGCAAUGAUGUCGUUGUGGGUGCCCGUCUGGGUAUGAGGGUUCCUUUAUUACUGCAACUGUCCGCGUCCUCCACCGGGUCAUUUCAUCUUCCGCGUUGCUGUCUGCGGUUUCACAACAGAGUAGCUCUGCACAUUUUGCCAUGAGAGCGGGAACUCUGUGAUGUCCGACCCUUUGAAGUUCUGCACGGUGCCCCAGGUGCAGCCCCUGAAGUGUGUUGGACUGAAGAGCACAGCCUGGUGUGGGCUGAGACACUGAGCAGAACCCGCCUGCGGAGGCCGGACCCACACCUGCCGUGGGCAGGGGAAGGGCAGCGAUUCCAGGGUUCUGUCCAAGGCCACAACUUGGCACUCUCUCCAGGGCGUUUAACGAAGUCCCAGGUUGGUCCUGGGGGCCUUCCCACCUGUAGACUGGCCAGGCUGCUUGGAGGCCCAUGGAAAGUGCGAGCAGAAGAGACACCUGGCAGGACUGGGGCCGGUCAGAGGGGGUUUUCCCUCUGCAUAGAGGAGGCUGGGCAUCCCCAGAUGUGGAGUCCUCAUGCCCUGCUCAGAACAAAGGAGCCUGACCUUUCAUGCUCUGUGUACAUGCAGAUGCUAACAGAUGUCAGCGUGCUGCAGACUCCUUCCAGCAGAACAGAUAGACCGUUCUUUCAGACUGGGUGGCCUUGCAAAAACCCGAGUUUGCCACAUGUUAGCAGUUGAGUAACUGUGUGUCUGAGUCCAGCAGGUGUGUGUGGGCUCCCGGGCUCCUGGGGCUUCAGAGACAGGAUGGGGUGAUUCAUGACUGGUGAGGGGCAAAGCCAGGACUUGGGCUGGGUCAUCCCAUCUUCCAGCCGGGAACAUGGCCCUCAGCAACCUUGUCAGCUUCUGCAUAAACCUUGUUUGGCAUCAACACAUUGGGAUUUUCCUUGGUGCUUCUAGUUGACGCCUUGCUAUGUAUUAGAUGAGCUGCACUCAUGGGCCCUGAGACCCUCCUCUCAGCUCAGCCUCCCCUCUCAUUCCUUCCUUCAGGACCCUCUUCUGCCUCACCCACCCCUCAAGCAUAGGAUGGGUGGGGGGAUGGAUUGGUGGGUGAACGAGUGUAUGAUGGGUGAAAGGGUAAGUGGGUUAGGCUUCCACUCUAGGCACCCUUCUCUUACGUAUGUACUUCUUUACCGGUUAUGGAAUCUGAAAGUCUAUCUUCAGUCCAGACGCUCAAGAGUCUAUAGCCUGCCAUAGGCAUCCACCCCAUGGUCCCCUGGGUCCCUUUUCCACCAUCAUGCUGUCAUGCCUACCUCUCUUGCAGUCACUGAGCUGGCACUACACUCCUCCCCAUGAGCCAAGCAGCUAGCUUCAUCUAUGCUCCCUUCUAGAUUCCUCUCACUGCUGAAUACCUAACCUGGCCCCUCUCACCUAUCAUAUUUCUCUGAUACUCCCAGACUCUGCCUGCACUCACCCAGUGCCUGAUGGGCACAUCUGGCCAACUUGUUCUCCAGGGGCUCCUUUGGGAAUAGUCCAGGACCCCUGGCCUCCAGGCCUUGCCUCUUCCCCAGGGCCCAACUUCCUGUUUCCUUGUCUCCCCUCAGUGUCUCUGAGUGAGGCUGAGUUGUUUCCUCUGCCCAGGAGUGCCACUCCCUAGAAUCACUAACCAAUGGCCCUGUUCCCACCCGUGUAGCACCUUUUGUCUUUGGGAGUCCUUUCCUCCAUUGAAAAGUUUCAAAUUAUAACUUAUAACUCUAUUGGUAUAAAGAUAAAUAUAGCCCAUGAUAGAUUCAUUCUUCAAUAUUCAUUGUUAUUCUUUUUUCAUUCUGGUUUUAAGGGAAAUUAAAAGUAAAAUUUUUGUGGUCUCUAAUAAUACCAGGAGUCCAGGUUCUGUGCUUCCCUCACCUGGUGGUAAUGUUGGCCCUGCCACCACCUACUUAUCUUUAAGACUCACAGCAGCACCCCCUCCUCCAAGAAGCCUCCUAGGAGUACACUCCAUUCCUGUCAGGGUCCCCUGUACCCCAGGACACCAGCACAUACCCUGGCGCCACAGAUUUACUCCUGUGCUGCUGAGGCCCUGGGCAGAUGAGGGUGCUCAGAGGGGCCAGGUGAAGUCCCCUUGGGGAUGCUGAUUUGGGUGACCUCACUUAGAAGCAAUCCUGGCUGGCUGGUGCAGAGGCUGGGCUGGAAGUAUCAGUAGCAGAGAGAGGUGGUAUUGGCAGAGACUGAGAUUCGGAAGAAAGACUUGACCUCUAGAGAGGGGCGGGCAAGGCCAGCAGAUAUUAUUCCCAGUUCUGGGUGGCAGGAUCCCAGGCCCAGGGUGGCCCAUAGCUGCCAAGACCUUCCUGUGUCCGCCUGUGGGGACUCUGGACAGGUCGUGUCUGUACCUGCAGGUAGAGCCGGACCCCUCAGCCCACACGGAGGCUCCAGGGUCCCACCAGUGAGGGACAACGAGGGUCCCUCUGGACCACAUCUCUGGAGGCAGGGGCUUGACUUCCCUCUUUCUGCCCCCCCCCCCCCGCAGCCAUUUGGCCCCCAGAAUUCCCAGGCAAGUCCCGCUUCCCCCAACCCCCAAACCCCACUCUGGCUCUGGCUGGGUUCCCAAAGGUCCACCAGGGAGAAAGGGGCACAGACAUACGCAUGCCUGGGUGCACACCGGGUCUCUGUCUUGGCCCCUGAGUGCCCAGACUGGGGAUUCAUAGUGGCUGCUCAGUCUGGUGCUCUGGGGAUGGGGAUCUAAGGGCAGUUACAGACCAGGUCCAGGGGAUGCCUCAGUUCCUGGUGCCUGCCCAUGACGACAGGAAAGACUGAUCCCUGGGCACCACCAGGCUACUCUGAACAGCACAGGAGGGUUCCAGAGCAGAGGACUCACCCCUCCCCCCCAAUUCUGGCGCCUGCAGCACUGAAGCCAAGACCAAUAAAACACCCACCUCACAGGAGACAGCUUUAUCUUGUUGAUCGGAAGUCUGCCAGCCCAAUUUAUGAUGGAACAUAAGCUCUCCAAAUCUGAAUUUAUGCGCUGUAGUAUAACGAGAGGUCAAUGGGAUUAAAAGUGGGCUCGUGAGAGAGCCACAGGCGGCUCACUCCUCCGUGCUGCCACAGAAACCUCAUGGCCUGAGUCUCUGAGUCCCAAGGGAGGACAGCCCAGCCCAGCACCAGGACAGGAAAAAGGAAGGCAGGGGAGAGACCAGCCUGAGUAGGGGGAAGAGGAUGGGAGGCAGGCAGGAGAAGCAGGGGGAGCAGGGCACAGGGCUGGGGCCACUGAUGGCCCAGGCCAGCAAUGUCUGAUGAGGCAAACACUGGGGGAGAAGGAUAAAGAGAGGGAGGGAGCAGAGGUUGUCGUGCAGGAACAGGAGCGCUUUCUCUCACUGCCAAGCCCUGGGCUAGCCCCUGGCCCCGAGAACAGGUAGGAGGUGGCCCUGAGGCAGGUUGAAGGACAGAGUUCUGACCCUGGCCCAGGGGCACGGUGCCUAAUGAGGUUGCAGUGGGCACACUUCAGUCACCCCACCUCUCCGUCCCCUCCUUGGCACCCUCUGUCUUCACAUCCCCUUGGGUUCCGGGUGAGGGUGAAGGAGGGGUGCGCUCUGUCCAGGUGGGGGUCUGAGCACCCAUCCAGCGUGAGGCUGGCUUUCUGAGCUCAGACUAGACCCUGACUUCAGAAUUUGUACAAAUAAACGAAAUGAAAAGUGCUGG